CUAUGUGAGCAUCCCUGUGCCUGCACAGCAAAGGACUCUCACUGGGUUCCACACGUGCUGCACAGAUCCCUGACACUGUGUUAACUGAACCUCAACUGCAGGAGCUUCAUUCCUGAGGAUGCUGUUACCAACAAUGACUUGCCUCUUGAAGAAUGAGUUUGCAAAGCCGGCAGUUACAUUGCUGAUGUCCAAAGACAUGGAAAUUUCCACGCUGACAAAUCAUUUCACUGUCAUUGGUCAAGACUCCAGGAUGAUAUUCUGAGCCGUAUGUUAAUUUUGACACCACCUAGAACAAUAAAAGGUAAACAUGC
rnacentral:lncRNA from 1 species